UACAGAGGGUGCAAGCGUUGUUCGGAAUUAUUGGGCGUAAAGCGCGUGUAGGCGGCUUAGCAAGUCGGGCGUGAAAGCCCUCGGCUCAACCGAGGAAGUGCACCCGAAACUGCUGAGCCUGAGUGCCGGAGAGGAUGGCGGAAUUCCCCAAGUAGAGGUGAAAUUCGUAGAUAUCUGGAGGAACACCGGUGGCGAAGGCGGCUAUCUGGCCCGUAAUUGACGCUGAGGCGCGAAAGCGUGGGGAGCAAACAGG
rnacentral:rRNA from 1 species